GACGAACGCUGGCGGCGUGCUUAACACAUGCAAGUCGAACGGAAAGGCCCUGCUUUUGUGGGGUGCUCGAGUGGCGAACGGGUGAGUAACACGUGAGUAACCUGCCCUUGACUUUGGGAUAACUUCAGGAAACUGGGGCUAAUACCGGAUAGGAGCUCCUGCUGCAUGGUGGGGGUUGGAAAGUUUCGGCGGUUGGGGAUGGACUCGCGGCUUAUCAGCUUGUUGGUGGGGUAGUGGCUUACCAAGGCUUUGACGGGUAGCCGGCCUGAGAGUGUGACCGGCCACAUUGGGACUGAGAUACGGCCCAGACUCCUGCGGGAGGCAGCAGUGGGGAAUAUUGCACAAUGGGCGGAAGCCUGAUGCAGCAACGCCGCGUGCGGGAUGACGGCCUUCGGGUUGUAAACCGCUUUCGCCUGUGACGAAGCGUGAGUGACGGUAAUGGGUAAAGAAGCACCGGCUAACUACGUG
rnacentral:rRNA from 1 species